GCCUCCUCCCUAUAAACUGCAGGAAGUGCAGAUUACCAUAUUUAAACUUGAGGAGUGCCAACCCAUCUUCCAUAUUGUAUCACAUGAAAUUCAAAAGGACAUGUUCUGUGCUGGUGACAAGAAGAAAUGGCAGGAUUCCUGUCAGGGUGACUCGGGGGGACCUCUGGCCUGUAAAAUAAAUGGUGCCUGGACCUUGAUUGGGGUAGUGAGCUGGGGAAUCCGCUGUGCUACGCCCAAUUUUCCAGGAGUUUAUACCAAUGUCUCCUACUACAGAGACUGGAUCGAUCGGAGGAUGAGCUGACAUUAGGGUCUCCCUCUCUCGGUGGUCCCAGCCAGCUCAUCCUCUCUGCUUCACUGCUUCUGCCUCUGUGCGAACCCCAGAACCGAAUCUGUCCCCUUCUCCUGAGCUCUGAACUGCUUUCUGCAACCAGAUAUGUUCUCGUAUCCCACAAGAAGAAAACAAUUUUGGUCCUUUAAUAAAAAUGCAUCUUGUAGCCGUC